CAGGCAGCUGUGCUGGUCUGUGAUAACCUCGUGCCAAUCACACGUCCCCAUGACGGCGACAACGCAUUCAGAUGUCUGCCCUAUCAACUUUCGAUGCAAUUUUCCGUGCCUACCAUGGUGACUUUGGGUAACGGGGAAUCAGGGUUCGAUUCCAGAGAGCGAGCCUGAGAAACGGCUAUCACAUGCAAGGAAGGCAGCAGGCGCGCAAAUUAUCCACUCCCGAUGAGGGGAGAUAGUGA